CUGGGCACUUCAGAAGGGGCACUGGCCUAGGGGUAGAAGCAGGGUGACCCUGAUUUCCCUGGGGUAGGGUGUGGCUCACGACGGGGUGCUGAGAACCCACCAAGAAGGCUGGAACUUUCAGUACUCAUUGUUUUAUGAGGGCCUGCCUGUGUGCCAGGCGGGAAGCACUGACCAGAGGCCCAGGGCAACUGAAGGGUCUCAGCCUGGUCUCUUGGUGCCUGGGGGGUACACUGUACAAGCGAUGAUGUAGUUCCAAGGGGCAGGACUCUGACCCACACUCCUGGUGCCAAUGUCCAUUUUGCUACUCAUGUUAGAUUUUGCUUCUUUAAGUGAACCUACUCAGGAUAGCUGGGUUCUUGGCCAUUCUUCCAGUGGUUUUCAAGGGUGAAAAAAGGAGUUUCAGCAAGACAGCUAACGUCUGGAUGAGUGAGCCAGGAAGGGUCUGUAACCUUCCUCUAGAGAGCACUCUGGGCUGGUGGGCGCGAGGACUCCAGUUUCAUGCACGUCCGUGUGAAGAGACCACCAAACAGGCUUUGUGUGAGCAAUAAAGCUGUUUAUUUCACAUGGGGGCAGGCAGGCUGAGUCUGAAAAGAGAGUCAGUGAAGGGAGAUAGGGGUGGGGCCGUUUUAUAGGAUUUCGGUAGGUAAAGGAAAAUUACAGUUAAAGGGGGGUUGUUCUCUGGCGGGCAGAGUAGGGAUCACAAUGUACUCAGUGGGGGAGGUUUUGAGCCAGGAUGAGCCAGGAGAAGGAAUUUCACAAGACAAUGUCAUCAGUUAAGGCAGGAACAGGCCAUUUUCACUUCUUUUGUGGUGGAAUGUCAUCAGUUAAGGCAGGAACCGGCCAUCUGGAUGUGUACGUGCAGGUCACAGGGGAUAUGAUGGCUUAGCUUGGGCUCAGAGGCCUGACGUUCCUGUCUUCUUAUAUUAACAAGAAAAAUAAAACAAAAUAGUGGUAAAGUGUUGGGAUGGUGAAAAUUUUUUGGGGGUGGUAUGGAGAGACAAUGGGCGAUGUUUCUCAGGGCUGCUUCGAGCGGGAUUAGGGGCGGCGUGGGAACCUAGAGUGGGAGAGAUUAAGCUGAAGGAAGAUUUUGUGGUAAGGGGUGAUAUUGUAGGGUUGUUAGAAGAAACAUUUGUCAUUUAGAAUUAUUGGUGAUGUCCUGGAUACAGUUUUGUAUGAAUUGAAAAACUAAAUGGAAGAAGAGAAGGAGAAAAACAGAUAUUAAAGGUCUAAGAAUUGGGAGGACCUAGGACAUCUAAUUAGAGAGUGCCUAAGGAGGUUCAGCAUAGUCCUGUCAGCAGAGAUUGUUUAUUUACUUCAAGAGUUAAGAGUGGCAGUUUGGGGAUAGCACCAGGAGAUAUCAGCUGUGAUGACUUGGAGAAACAGUGUAAACCGGCAGUGUAAACAAGAGAAGGGCAUGUAUGAGUAGUUGAGAACGGCAAAUAGGAGUUUGACUAGACAGAAGAUAGUAGGGAUGACAAGUUUUUUGGGGCACAGUCUAAGUUGGUCUGGUGUCUGGAAUGACACUGGGGCCAAUAAAAAGGAGCGUCUUUACAGGAGCUCAAAUGGGCUGUAUUUUGUAGCAUUCUGAGGACAGCUCUGACUUCUGAGAAGGGAAAGUGGUAAAAGUGUUGUACAGUCCUUUUUAAGUUGGAGGCUGAGCUUAGUGAGGUGUGUUUUUAAAAGACCAUUAGUCUGUUCUACUUUUCCUGAAGACUGAGGACUGUAAGGGAUAUAAAGAUUUCACUGAAUACUAAGAGCCUGAAAAACUGCUUGGCUGAUUUGACUAAUAAAGGCUGGUCUGUUGUCAGACUGUAUAGAGGUGGGAAGGCUAAACUGAGGAAUUAUGUCUGACAGAAGGGAAGAAAUGACUGUGGUGGCCUUCUCAGACCCUGUAGGAAAGGCCUGUACUUAUCCAGUGAAAGUGUCUACUUAGAUUAAGAGGUACUUUAGUUAUCUGACUCGGGGUACGUUGAGUAAAACUAAUUUGCCAGUCCUGGGUGCGGGCAAAUCCCUGAGCUUGAUGUGUAGGGAAGGGAGGGAGCCUGAAUAAUCCCUGAGGAGUAGUAGAAUAGCAGAUGGAACACUGAGAAGUUAUUUCCUUGAGGAUAGAUUUCCACGAUGGAAAGAAAAUGAGAGGUUCUAAGAGGAGGGCUAGUGGCUUGUACUAUAGCAUAGCCUGCCUUUGCUGGUGUGUGGUGAUUAGGCCUGGUGGAGCUGCCGUCAAUAAAUCAAGAGUGAUCAGGUUGAGGAACAGGAAAGAAGGAAAUAUGGGGAAAUGAGGUGAAUGUCAGUUGGAUCAGAGAGAUACAGUCAUGGGGGUCAGGUGUAGUAUCAGGAAUAAUGUGGGAGGCCGGACUGAAGUCCGGGCCAGGAACAAUGGUAAUUGUGGGACUUAACAAAGAGUGAGUACAGCUGAAGGAGCCGGGGAGCAGACAGUAAGUGCAUCAGGUGUGAGGAAGAAAAUAGAUUUUGGAAGUUAUGAGAAAUGUAGAGAGUGAGUUGUGCAUAGUUUGUGAUUUUGAGGGCCUCUAAAAGUAUUAGGGCGGCAGCAGCCGCUGCACAGAGACGUGAGGGCUAGGCUAAAACAGUAAGGUCAAGCUAUUUGGACAGAAAGGCUACAGGGUGCGGUCCUGGCUCUUGUGUAAGAAUUCUGACCACGCUAACCAUGCCUAGGAAGGAAAGGAGUUGUCGUUUUGUAAGGGAUUGAGGUUUGGGAGAUUAAUCAGACACGAUCAGCAGGGAGAGCACGUGUGUUUUUAUGAGAAUUAUGCUGAGAUAGGUAACAGAUGAGGAUGAAAUUUGGGCUUGACUGAAGUAAUGGGGGCUGUCUGUGAAGCUUUGCGGCAGUACAGCCCAGGUAAUCUGCUGAGCCUGAUGGGUGUCAGGGUCAGUCCAAGUGAAAGUGAAGAGAGGCUGGGAUGACAGGAGCAAAGGAAUAGUAAAGAUACCAAGUUUGAGAUCCAGAACAGAAUAAUGGGUUGUUGAGGGAGGUAUUGAGGAUAGGAGAGUAUGUGUGUUUGGCACCAUGGGGUGGAUAGGCAAAACAAUUUUGUUGAUAAGAGGCAAAUCCUGAACUAACUUGUAAGGCUUGUCUGGUUUUAGGACAGGUAAAAUGGGAGAAUUGUAAGGAGAGUUUAUAGGCUUUAAAAGGCCAUGCUGUAGCAGGCGAGUGAUAACAGGCUUUAAUCCUUUCAAAGCAUGCUGUGGGAUGGGAUAUUGGCGUUGAGUGGGGUAAGGGUGAUUAGGUUUUAAUCAGAUGGUAAGGGGUGCAUGAUAGGUCAACAAGGAGGGAGUAGAGGUAUCCUAUACUUGCGGAUUAAGGUGGGGAGAUACAAGAGGAGGAUGUGAAGGGGGCUUUGAACUGGGGGAAAAGGUCACAAUGCGGUGUGGCUGUAGCCCAGGAAUAGUCAGGGAAGCAGAUAAUUUAGUUAAAGUGUUUCGGCCUAAUAAGGGAACUGGGCAGGUGGGGAUAACUAAAAAGGAGUGCUUAAAAGAGUUUUGUCUAAGUUGGCACAAGACUUGGGGAGUUUUAAGAGGUUUAGAAGCCUGGCCGUCAAUACCCACAACAGUUAUGGAGGCAAGGGAAACAGGCCCUUGAAAAGAAGGUAAUGUGGAGUGGGGAGCCUCCGUAUUGAUUAAGAAGGGGAUGAACUUACUUUCCACUGUGAGAGUUACCUAAAGCUCGGCGUCCGUGAUGGUCUACGGGGCUUCCGAGGCAAUAAGGCAGCGUCAGUCUUCAGCCGCUAAGCCGAGAAGGGAUCAGUCAGAGAGGCUUGGGCCAGAGUUCCAGGGGCUCUGGGAGUGGCUGCCAGGUGAGUUGGACAGUCCGAUUUCCAGUGGAGUCCCGCACAGAUGGGACGCGGCUUAGGAGGAAUCCUGGGCUGCAGGCAUUCCUUGGCCUGGUAGUCAGAUUUCUGGCACUUGUAGCAAGCUCCUGGGGGAGAAGGUUCUGGAGUAACGCCUGGCCACUGCGGUUCAGGCAUUUGGAAGUUCUUGUGUGCUGGAGAUGUGGCUGGGGUUUGUCUCACAGUGGAGGUUACCUAACCAAACUCCUGUAAAACCACACCACCUAUGCCUGUGAUGGGGACUAUCUGAAUCUACAGUGCCCUCGGCAUUCUACAAUAAGUGUCCAAUCGGCAUUUUAUGGACAAGAUUACCCAAUGUGUAGUUCCCAGAAGCCUGCCUGCCAGAGGGAAGACAGCUUAACUUGUGUGGCACCCACCACCUUCCAGAUGAAUUAAAAAACAAAACCGUGUGUGAAGACAAGGAGCUGAAACUGCACUGCCAUGAAUCCAAGUUCCUCAACAUCUACUCUGUGACCUAUGGCAGGAGGAUCCAGGAAAGGGACAUGUGCUCCUCCAAGGCAGAGCGGCUCCCCCCCUUUUCAGUUUGUGCUUUUGUAUGGGUAUUAGCCGGGGUUCUCUAGAGGGACUGAACUAAUAGGAUAUAUAAUGGGAUAUAUAUAUAUGAUUGUGGAAGUCAAUACUUAAUAACACAAUCACAAUCUUGUGAUCGUGAAUGUUAAUACUUAAUAAACUCCCAUAUGUGUGUGUGUGUGUGUGUGUGUGUGUGUGUGUGUGUAUAAAUGCUUGUAAACAGUAAUCUGCCAAAAAUAAAUAAGUAAAACAACAA